UGAGUGGCUGUCUGGCGAACUUUGGGUGGGUGACUCUGUGAGCUUCUGAUUUUGAGCUGUUUUGUGAUGUUCAAUCUUCUGCUUGAAAAAGUAAAGAUGGGUACAAAAUCUGUUUAGAUUGAACAAAAUGGGCACAAGUUGAUUUUGUGGCCCUCGCAAAAUCGAGCACCCAAAGUCAAAUCUGCAUAGAUGACAGACGCCCAUUUUCGCCAAACCGAACACCUAAAAGUUCCGCUUCCACUGGUGCUUUUACAGUUAUAACCUUCCCAGUACACUGUACGUAUCUUUUUUACAGAAUAAACCCUGCCACACUUUUUUUUUUUUUUUUUUUUUUUUUUUUUUUUUUUUUUUUUUUUUUUGUAGUAUGAUAUUAGCUGAAGAUGGUUCGCUUCGAACUAUGUCAUUAGCGUUUUCUUUCAUAUGGGGUAAGAAGCGACUUGUGUUUUUAUAUCUUCCAUCAGUUCAAAAUUUUCCUUGAUGGAUU